AGUGAACGCUGGCGGCAGGCCUAACACAUGCAAGUCGAGCGGCAGCGGGUCCUUCGGGAUGCCGGCGAGCGGCGGACGGGUGAGGAAUGCGUCGGAAUCUGCCUUUUUGUGGGGGAUAACGUAGGGAAACUUACGCUAAUACCGCAUACGACCUACGGGUGAAAGUGGGGGACCGCAAGGCCUCACGCAGAAAGAUGAGCCGACGCCGGAUUAGCUAGUUGGCGGGGUAAAGGCCCACCAAGGCGACGAUCCGUAGCUGGUCUGAGAGGAUGCUCAGCCACACUGGAACUGAGACGCGGUCCAGACUCCUACGGGAGGCAGCAGUGGGGAAUAUUGGACAAUGGGCGCAAGCCUGAUCCAGCCAUGCCGCGUGUGUGAAGAAGGCCUUCGGGUUGUAAAGCACUUUUGUCCGGAAAGAAAUCCAAUCGAUUAAUACUCGGUUGGGAUGACGGUACCGGAAGAAUAAGCACCGGCUAACUUCGUGCCAGCAGCCGCCGUAACAC
rnacentral:rRNA from 1 species